rnacentral:rRNA from 1 species
UCCAGACUCCUACGGGAGGCAGCAGUGGGGAAUAUUGGACAAUGGGGGGAACCCUGAUCCAGCGACGCCGCGUGAGUGAAGAAGUAUUUCGGUAUGUAAAGCUCUAUCAGCAGGGAAGAAAGAAAUGACGGUACCUGACUAAGAAGCCCCGGCUAACUACGUGCCAGCAGCCGCGGUAAUACGUAGGGGGCAAGCGUUAUCCGGAUUUACUGGGUGUAAAGGGAGCGUAGACGGUUACGCAAGUCUGAUGUGAAAGGCUGGGGCUCAACCCCAGGACUGCAUUGGAAACUGUUAGGCUGGAGUGUCGGAGAGGUAAGCGGAAUUCCUAGUGUAGCGGUGAAAUGCGUAGAUAUUAGGAGAAACACCAGUGGCGAAGGCGGCUUACUGGACGACAACUGACGCUGAGGCUCGAAAGCGUGGGGAGCAAACAGGAUUAGAUACCCUGGUAC